AAUGAACGUUGGCGGCAUGGAUUAGGCAUGCAAGUCGAGCGAGAAGAGUUUUGAAGCUUGCUUUAGAACCCGGACAGCGGCGAAAGGGAGAGUAACGCGUAGUUAUGUGCCCUAGGGUCCGGAAUAGCCACGGGAAACUGUGGGUAAUGCCGGAUAAUAUCCCCGGAUCAAAGGUGUGAUUCCGCCCUAGGAGCAGACUGCGUCCUACUAGCUAGUUGGUGGGGUAAUGGCCCACCAAGGCAACGAUGGGUAGCGGGUGUGAGAGCAUGACCCGUCUCACUGGGACUGAGACACUGCCCAGACACCUACGGGUGGCUGCAGUCGAGAAUCUUCGGCAAUGGGCGAAAGCCUGACCGAGCGAUGCCGCGUGCGGGAUGAAGGCCCUCGGGUUGUAAACCGCUGUCGUAGGGGAGGAAGGUUCCGUGAAGAGCGGAAUUUGACCUAUCCUAGGAGGAAGUACGGGCUAAGUUCGUGCCAGCAGCCGCGGUAACAC
rnacentral:rRNA from 1 species